ACAUUUUGUGGCAACGCUGACUCCGUUUACUCAUUUCCCAGCCCCUUCGGCACCACCCACCUGCCCAGGCAUCGAGUGGCAUACUCGAGCAUGUCUUUACAUCUCUUUACGCUUGGCUAUAGCUCAAAGUGCUCAGCGGGCUGCCACCUAGGGAAGAGGGAUGGGAGGAGAGAGGAGACGGCGCAGAUAAAAUACUCUGGCAUUUAAUGGUUUAUGCUGGAGUCUGCAGUCGAUAGUGCAACAUUUUCAGAAGAAGAGAAAGAAGACAUUUAUCUGCCGGGCACAACAGUAAAAACAACAUCAGCAUCCACAACAGCAACAACAGCAG
rnacentral:sRNA from 1 species